GACUUUGUUGAGUUAAAAUCAUUGGAUUUAGGGGAUUGAUGAAAUGUAUAUUUCAUCUCCCAAAAUAAAUGAAUGAUUUUAAUUUGAUAAAACUCCUCCUUUGACCAAUUUGUGUUGAUUCCAUUUCCCCUCCCUCUUCAUCUCAAUCCUAUCCUCUUCUCAUUCAUUUCAUGGACCUAUGAUAUCUCUAUAUCCUAAGGCUAGUUGAUUGAAAAAUCAACAUAAGUUUGGAUGAGAUUAA
rnacentral:lncRNA from 1 species